CAGACAGUAGGGGGAUAUAUGAGAGCGAGCUGCCACCGUGGGCAACUGGAGCCAGUCCUGUGGGAGCUCCAGAAACUACAGGACACGGGUAUGUCUGGAGGUUUUCCAGUUGAGGGUCAAAGGAGCUGGGGUCUUCACCUGCCAACUCCCUAGUCACAGCUCCUGGGCUGCCUGAGUGGACAUGGAUGCUGGCAGCUGGAAGUUGCCCCCAGUUGCACCAUAAUGUUGAAAAUUCCCACCAUUUAUUGGAGCCUGUUCUGUUUUUCACCUGAGCUGAAGGCUGGGAGUGGGAGGGGCUCCUCUGCAAAUCCACAGCUGCAGAACAACAGGUCAUGACAGCUUUAUCUUUAAGGCCAAUACCAAGAGAACCAGAGAAGCCAAAAAGAGAUAACUUUGAAUCCCACGGGGCAAGAAUGCACCAAGCCUUUUUUUCCCAGGGGAUUUUAUUUAGCUGAUAGGCAAAGUCUGAAGACUGGGUGCUUUCCCCAUUGGAAGAACUCAAUAAAGUAUUUUGACUCAGUGCAAAGCCAAAAUACCAUCCCUAGGUCAAAGAGCUGGACUUGGAAGCCUGUUCCUCCUGGGAAGCCAGCUUGGAAGAGUUUCUUCGAGCAGCCAGACACCAUAGGAAAGACCUCUAUAGAUGAAUCUGCUGUGGAUGAGUGUCCUAUCCACAGACCUUUCUUAGUUUGGUCCCUGCGGCCUGCAGCCAUGGGAGGGCUCAGUGGAGACUGGAUGACAGGAGCAGGCACCACUUGGCUGACAUUGAAAAGGCCUUAACAGUUGAUGUCUGAGGGUGACCACCUGAAAAGAGGACCUUGAGCUGCCAGAAUGUGGAAUACAGGACUGCAGAGGGGAAAAUAAGUGUCAUUUUCAUUCCAGAGAAUAUUACCGAGGUGCCUGCAAAGUUCAAUCUUCCUUUCCAAGCCUUUUAUUCAAACUAAGGGCCAGGUUCAGGCACAGAAGGAGCACCUACGAGCUUUAGCUUUGAUUUGGUCUUAAUGCACGCGUAUGUCGCCGUCGAGAUUUACAUAUUUCUUAAUGACCAGAAAGCAACAAUUAGAAAGUCCAAGAUCAACUCUCACUACGGUAUGAAUUUCUUCAUCUGAGCAUUUUUGUAAGAAGCAUGGAUUCCUACUAUAAUCACAAUAAAACAAUAAAGAUAGAAAAAAAGAUCUGGGAAAGAGGAC
rnacentral:lncRNA from 1 species